GGUAGUUAAGCAAUAUUGUUAUAGGAUGCAGAGCAUGGGACGACUACAGGCAUAUCAAUGCAUGACAGGGCGGCAACAGCUUUGGCUCUUGCGUCUAGAGAUUCCAAAACCUGAAGAUUUCAACAGGCCGGGACAUGUUUUCCCAUUGAAGUACAGGGAGGUUGGUGUCCUGAAAAGAGCUGGGCAUACAGGGGCUUCUGUCCACCUUGCUGUGUUAGCUGGAUUGGAACCCCUGACAGUUCUCUUUGCGAGGUAGUGGAUGAUGAUGGCUCCAUGGCAAGAUUACCUGAGCUUCGUGAGUUUACACAGCAGGAGAAUUGAAAAUUGCAUCCUUGCUGAUUUAAUCAGGUAAGUAUUCUCUUCCCAGCAAUCCAAAUGCAUAUACUUUUUAAGGACAUGUAGUCCCCAGUCGAAUCCAAUUUCAGCUGCAACUUUCACUUCUUAAGUAUUGGCUCUUUUGGUCAAGAUGUUGUCGCUGCAGCAUCUCCCUUUUGGGAGUGGAUAAAGAGUCUCUCAUGGGGUGCUGAUGGGCUUUUGUUUUACAUAGCAAAAAACGAGAGAAGCAUAGGCCAUCUUGGUCUAUUCGUGUCUGAAGUUUAUUUUAUGCUUUAAACUUGUGGUUAUUAUUCUGAUCAUUGAAAUACCAUGGAGAUCAAUAGUUUUGGGAUCUGAAGAAUUUGUUUCUCACAAUAUUUUUUGUGUAUGGUGUUGUUAGAUUGGUGUUUGCAGUUCAUCUAUUACCCGAUGUUUAACUUGAGAAAUUGGUUAUAACUGGCCAGGAUUCUUGUUGAGUCAUGUCAAUGAGCCCGUGACCUCCAUUAUCUCUGUGUACAUUUUCUUGCAUUUACCUUGUUUCAAAACCUAUAUCUGAAUGUCAGUUGACCAUUAACUGAGGCGGAGAUUGAGGUGAUUCUCAGCAUCAUCACUAGGAAAUAAGGAUAGAACAUCUUGAUUGUCAAAAGAGCGCUUGAAGUUGUCUGAUGUAUUCUGACUUGUAUAUUGAGAAGCUUCUUGUACUGUAUGAUUGAGAAAAUUUCACUGUUCAAUAGAUUCAUAAAUUUAUAGGUACCACUGGAAAAGAGAUAAAUUAGUUGAAUGUGUUGUUGCUGCUAGAUUACCAACAUCGUCGGGCCUUUUACAGCCCAUUGCUAUAGGUCAAUAUUAGAUGGAAUCAAGCACAUUGCAAUGGUCAAGGUGAGAUAAAUUAUGAGUUAAUUGUUAAAACUGUUUUAAAAAUCUAGACACUAAUGAAAAGAGAGUUUUGAGUGGAUUAAUUGUAAACUUUGUAGAUCUCAUUUCUAGCAGUCCAAUUUUCAACACAACUUCAAUUUGAGCUUCAUCUUAUGUACUUCCAGUGCGUGGUUUUGUUUGACAAUGAAUUUAAUGGAACAGGGUAUCAAGCUUUAGAGUUGAAUAAUCACCCCACUGAGAAAUUGAUGGUAUCUUUUGGGUGGAACUCCAUUUCAUGUAUCUUGAAGUUUGUAAAAGAAGUAUCUAGUAUCUAAUCAUGUGUCAAACAUAAUUUGGAGUACCAAAUUUAUCUUACUUGGAUAACAAUUUUGUCAGGACAGGAAAGUUUAACAUUGGGAGAAAUGAUUGUUAGGAUAUUAGAGGAACUGCUGGGAACAAUAAUUCUUUCUUAUAGUUUAUGAAAUGAUUGAACUGGGGCCUGUAUGUGUCUGCAAUUGAUAUCAGCAUGCCGUAAUUUUAAUCAAUAGUAAUAUCUUUAGUUUUUCCUAUUUUUUGUCCUCCCUUCAGACUGCAAUAUUUCCCAUCAUGUGAUUCAUACUUCAUUGCAUCUGAAGAGGGCAACAUUGAAGAUUGAUGAGAUGUCCUUGUGAGGGUACAAUUGGCAUGCCUCAUAGGAGACAUAUUUGGAUCUGCUAGAUGCAACUGCGGCAACCAGCUUGCACUUGCGAUGCAGCAGAUAGAAGCAGCGUGUUGGUCUACCUUUGAGGGCAUGAAGGAAGAGGAAUAGGUUUAACCUGCAGGAUGGUAGGCGUGAAUCCAUGGAAGCAAAUGUGGAGCUUGGAUUGCCCGUUUACUCUCGAGAGUAUGGAAUUGGUACUCAGCUCAUGAAGAACGUGGGGCUUAGAGGUUAUGGCCUGAUGAUUGCUGAGAGAGUCCCUCUAGUAACUCCUACAGCAAAGGAGAAUAAGAGAUGCUUGGAGACAAAACGCUCCAAUAUGGGCACAUCUAUGGGAGCGUACAAUGGCCUCGUCAGCAAUCUCAUCAGCAAAAACGGCAAGACGAGCAGCCCUAUUUCUUUUGAUCCAGCUGUGUCUGACUCAUGAAACCUGCUAAAUAGUUCAACAGCUAAUGAUUUACGCGGGGGCUCACAAGCAAGUUCACUGACAGAUGGUGUUAUUACUUAAUUUUAAAAGCACCAAGUUAAAGAACAUUGGGAUUCCUGCUGAUGAUGAGUUCUGGAAAUUUGAUGGGGAUCCAGUUUUAUAAUUAAUCUAAGAUUCAUUAUUGUUCUA